rnacentral:rRNA from 1 species
CGCGGCCUAUCAGCUUGUUGGUGAGGUUAUGGCUUACCAAGGCGACGACGGGUAGCCGGCCUGAGAGGGUGUCCGGCCACACUGGGACUGAGAUACGGCCCAGACUCCUACGGGAGGCAGCAGUGGGGAAUAUUGCACAAUGGGCGCAAGCCUGAUGCAGCGACGCCGCGUGGGGGAUGACGGCCUUCGGGUUGUAAACCUCUUUCAGUACAGACGAAGCGUAAGUGACGGUAUGUACAGAAGAAGCACCGGCCAACUACGUGCCAGCAGCCGCGGUAAUACGUAGGGUGCGAGCGUUGUCCGGAAUUACUGGGCGUAAAGAGCUCGUAGGUGGUUUGUCGCGUUGUUCGUGAAAACCUGAGGCUUAACCUUGGGCGUGCGGGCGAUACGGGCAGACUGGAGUACUGCAGGGGAGACUGGAAUUCCUGGUGUAGCGGUGGAAUGCGCAGAUAUCAGGAGGAACACCGGUGGCGAAGGCGGGUCUCUGGGCAGUAACUGACGCUGAGGAGCGAAAGCGUGGGGAGCGAACAGGAUUAGAUACCCUGGUAGUCCACGCCGUAAACGGUGGGUACUAGGUGUGGGUUUCCUUCCUUGGGAUCCGUGCCGUAGCUAACGCAUUAAGUACCCCGCCUGGGGAGUACGG